UCGUUGUUUCCGAUGAUGGUGCAAUACAGGUGAUCGGACUGCCUUACCGCGGGAAGUUCACCGAUAUUUCUUCAAUAGAGGAAGCAA
rnacentral:rRNA from 1 species